rnacentral:miRNA from 1 species
CAAACCCACUAUUUUCACUUCGA